rnacentral:rRNA from 1 species
GGCUCCUUGAAAACUAAUAUAUAAGGAGUCGGACCUGCCCGGUGACGUAGAUGUUAAACGGCCGCGGUACCCUAACCGUGCAAAGGUAGCAUAAUCAUUUGCCUUUUAAUUGGAGGCUUGUAUGAAUGGUUUGACGAGAGCUAAGCUGUCUCUCAAGAAAUAUUUAAAAAUUAACUUUUAGGUGAAGAGGCCUAAAUUUAAUUAAGGGACAAGAAGACCCUAUUGAGCUUUAGUGACUUUAGAAAUAAAUAUUUGAUUUGGGUUAAUAUCUGCUAACAUGUAUUAAGCUAGUUUUUUAAAUAAUCUUUAGUUGGGGCGACUGAGGAACAAAUAAAGCUUCCUUGAGUUUAUAUAAUUUAGGUUUAGUAAUAAGCUGGCAAGUUAUAGUGAUCCGGUAAAUUAUCGAUUAAGGGAAAAAGUUACCAUAGGGAUAACAGCGUAAUCUUUCUGGAGAGAUCUUAUCGAAAGGAAGGUUUGCGACCUCGAUGUUGGACUAAGGUAUCCUGGGGGUGUAGAAGUUCCCGAUGGUUGGUC